CUGUUCACCACAUCAUCCACCUCUGCAAUCAAACAUGAAAACAUCUGAUGCCCACCUCAAAGUAUACCAGAAAAACAAGCACUUAAAAGGUCUGCCUUUGACCUCUGCAGGAAUUUUGCUGGGCUAUUAUGGUAGACCAAAGAACAAAAACAUCUGGAGGAAGCAAGUCCUCACUGCCUCCUGCUUACAAGAGAGUUACAGCAAGAGUGUGAAGGGACUGUACACAUAGUUUGUCGGAUUGACUUAGGACUGCAGUCCUUUCAGCCCCUACAGUGGAUACAUCUGCUUAUAUACAGCAAUUUAGUCACUGCUAUUCAUGGAGGCAGCUGCAGUGACAGUUCUUCCUCACCUGGGAAACAUGAAGCACAGCCCCAAAAUUCACAUCAAGAGACCUACAAAUAAAUCAAAUUCAAGUUACAGAGUGGUUGUAGCCCAGCCCAGGGAGCUGUUUUGGGAGGCAGCAGAGGACAAGUGCUGCUGGUGUCUUGGAAGCACUGGUGAUACUCUAGGACAUGGACAGAAAUGCCAAGUUGUCAGGAGAACCAGAAUGGUCAGGUGGGAUCUCAGCAAUGAACCAGAACCAUCCAUUGGCUGCAAGUCUGUCAGUGUGUGAAGAGGUGCAAGCAUGCAUCAGGUACAUUUUGCACAGGACUCUGCUCUUCUGCAGCCUAAUGGAAUUCCUCUGUCAAAGUUUAAACAGAGCCCUGGGCUUCAGCCAGGACAGAUGACCCUUAGGUCAAGCAAACCCUUCACACAGAUUUACAAAGCAAAGCUGCUGUAAGGUGGUUAGAGGCAGCAUUUCUUCUGUUUGCCACAUUGUGCUUCCUUAGGCUUCCACCUGCCAGUUCUGCAGAAUGAUCUUAGUAGAAUCCAUACAUUUUAUGUUCUAGUCACAAACCUUUAUUAUAGAUUCUCAACAGCCAUUUUUAACACAGGGACACAGUGUGACCCAUUUUCUCAGAAGGAUGUGGUCAAGAUAGCCUGUAUCCUAAAGUGUACUCAACAAAACUGGACCUUUUCAGAGAACAAAGAAGUCAUGUUAUUGUAGUUAGCAAAUUUAAUUUCCCACCAUGACCGAUUUUGCUUCCUUACCUGGCUUUGUUGUCUCUAUUUCUGAAUUGUCUUAGCAACAACUGCCUUUCAUUUUAACGGAGCUUGAACUAGACUUGGAAGCUCUGAGCUUGAUGAGCAGCAAAGGCACUCUCCUCCCAUGCCAGUGGGAUGACUGGUGCACCCCGCCGUUCUGGAGGUGACACUGCAGGUUCUGGCUACUUAGAAAUGGGUGUAAAGCCAGUGCUUUGUUUCCUUUUGCUGUUUAAGGGGUGAAAGGUGAUGAUGUAAAGUAUGAAAAGACAGUAAAGAAAAAGGACAUAUGCAGUAACAAUCGACCACUGGGCAUUGCCAAAAGCGUGCAUGUCAGCCUGUUCAGUGUCAAUACACCAGUUGCUGACUUUGUUCUUUUCAACUGCUGUCCCUCUAAUAACACCCUUUUCUGGAAAGCUCUGCCACCGUUUUUGACGUUCAGAGCUUUGUAACGCCCUGGCGAGCAUCGGCCCCAGAGCUCCCCGCGGAGCUGCGGUCCGGUGCGGGAGCCUCUGGCGGGCCGGGGCCGGGCACUCACCGCUGCAGGGCCGAGCGCGUCACCUCCAGGAACGGCUGCAGCUCCGCCACCGCCGCGUUGUUAACCAGCAGCUGGAACGGCCCCGCCGCGCCCACCGCCGCCUCCACAGUCUCCCAGUCCGCCAGGUCCACGCAGAGGGUCUCGAUGCCCGGGCACUGCGGCGAGGGCGGCGGCGGUGGGCCGGGGGGAGCCCGGGGCCCCGCUGCGGGGUUAUUGGGGCGGGAAGGGGGGCAGAGGAGGGUCCGGUACCUCCCGCGCGAGGCUCUCCAAGUCCGCCGCCGUUCGGCUCAGCGCGGUCACGCGAGCCCCGGCCCUGCUCAGCGCCACGGCCACGGCACGACCGAUCCCUGCGAGGAGACGGCGUCAGGCUCGGCCCGGCCUGGCCCCCGCCCCCGGGCUUCUGCCGACGGUCACCUUUGCCGGCCCCAGUCACCAGGGCCCGCCGGCCGCCGAAGCUGAGAUGCGCCUCCAUGUCUCGGCUGGACUGU